rnacentral:rRNA from 1 species
UACAAAGGUAAGUUGACGGGGCCCGCACAAGCGGUGAGUAUGUGGUUUAAUUCGACGCAACGCGAAGAACCUUACCUGGUCUUGACAUCCCGGGAAUCUUUAGGAAACUAGAGAGUGCCUCGCAAGAGGAGCCCGGUGACAGGUGCUGCAUGGCUGCCGUCAGCUCGUGUCGUGAGAUGUUGGGUUAAGUCCCGCAACGAGCGCAACCCUCGCCUUUAGUUGCCAGCAUUUAGUUUGGGCACUCUAAAGGGACUGCCGGUGUUAAACCGGAGGAAGGUGGGGAUGACGUCAAGUCCUCAUGGCCUUUAUGCCUAGGGCUACACACGUGCUACAAUGGGCGGUACAAAGGGUUGCAAUCCCGCGAGGGGGAGCCAAUCCCAAAAAGCCGUUCUCAGUUCGGAUUGGAGUCUGCAACUCGACUCCAUGAAGUUGGAAUCGCUAGUAAUCGUGGAUCAGCAUGCCACGGUGAAUACGUUCCCGGGCCUU